CCCCUCGCGCCCAGCCUUGCCCAGACGCCUCCGCUCCCCAAGCCCAGAGCGCAGAGGAGAAGAGAAGGACUCGGCCGCUCAGACGGCUCUUGGCUCCCCGACUUGCUCGUCUCCCCUAUCCAGCCUUGCCAGACCCCCAACUUCCCCCUCCCCCCCGCAAGUCCUUCCGCGCGCGAUCGCCCGCCUUUCCUGCUUUUGUUUUCAGCCCCGCGCCGAGGAGGAAAGCCGUCCGUCGGAGCGCAGCCAUGGCGCAGUUUGGACUUCGGGGUUGGCUCUUCGCCGUGGCCUUGAGCGCGACCCUCCGCUUCGGGCGAGCAGGGCUCUCCACCAUCGUCUGACUGAACAGGAGGGCCCCAUCCUUGAGGGCAACAAUGUGACUCUGGAAUGCCUGGUCAGUUAUUGGGACAAUGUGUCCGGACUUCACCUUCCAAAAA